rnacentral:rRNA from 1 species
GACAGAGGGUGCAAACGUUGCUCGGAAUCACUGGGCGUAAGGGGCGUGUAGGCGGGAAUGUAAGUCGGGCGUGAAAUCCCUAGGCUCAACCUGGGAACUGCACUCGAAACUGCGUUUCUUGAGUAUCGGAGAGGAAAGCGGAAUACCUGGUGUAGAGGUGAAAUUCGUAGAUAUCAGGUGGAACACCAGUGGCGAAGGCGGCUUUCUGGACGAUAACUGACGCUGAGACGUGAAAGCGUGGGGAGCAAACAGG